AUCCAUCUGACGAGUCCUAAAUAGGACGAAAUGCGCACCCUGGAU
rnacentral:hammerhead_ribozyme from 1 species